rnacentral:rRNA from 1 species
GCCUUGGUGUUGGAGAUCAGACCAGCUUACAACCGUCCG